rnacentral:rRNA from 1 species
GUAUUCGCCGGGCCUAUAAUGCAAGUCGACGAAGCAGCAAUGCUUAGUGGCGCACGGGUGCGUAACGCGUAUGUAACCUACCUUUUACUGGGGGAUAACUUCUCGAAAGAGAAGCUAAUACCGCAUAAUGCAUUAAGGUCACCUGGUCUAAAUGUUAAAGAUUUAUUGGUAAAAGAUGGGCAUGCGUCCAAUUAGCUAGUUGGUAGUGUAACGGACUACCAAGGCUACGAUUGGUAGGGGGUCUGAGAGGAUGGUCCCCCACACUGGUACUGAGAUACGGACCAGACUCCUACGGGAGGCAGCAGUAGGGAAUAUUGGGCAAUGGACGAAAGUCUGACCCAGCCAUGCCGCGUGCAGGAUGAAGGCCCUCUGGGUUGUAAACUGCUUUUGACAGGGAAGAAAUACACCAUGCGUGGUGAGCUGACGGUACCUGUAGAAUAAGCACCGGCUAACUCCGUGCCAGCAGCCGCGGUAAUACGGAGGGUGCAAGCGUUGUCCGGAUUUAUCGGGUUUAAAGGGUGCGUAGGCGGUUUUGUAAGUCAGUGGUGAAAGCUAGCAGCUUAACUGUUAAACUGCCAUUGAUACUGCAAAGCUUGAGUUCAGAUGAGGUAGGCGGAAUUUAUAGUGUAGCGGUGAAAUGCUUAGAUACUAUAAAGAACUCCGAUAGCGUAGGCAGCUUACUAAACUGAUACUGACGCUGAGGCACGAAAGUGUGGGGAUCAAACAGGAUUAGAUACCCUGGUAGUCCACACUGUAAACGAUGAUUACUCGUUGUUGGCGAUGUUACAGCCAGCGACUUAGGGAAACCGUUAAGUAAUCCACCUGGGGAGUACGUUCGCAAGGAUGAAACUCAAAGGAAUUGACGG